rnacentral:piRNA from 1 species
ACUCCCGGCAGGGACUGAGGACUACAUU